rnacentral:rRNA from 1 species
ACGUACACUCCUACGGGAGGCAGCAGUGAGGAAUAUUGGACAAUGGGUGGAAGCCUGAUCCAGCCAUCCCGCGUGCAGGAAGACGGCCCUAUGGGUUGUAAACUGCUUUUAUCUGGGGAUAAACCUACUUACGUGUAAGUAGCUGAAGGUACCAGAAGAAUAAGCACCGGCUAACUCCGUGCCAGCAGCCGCGGUAAUACGGAGGGUGCAAGCGUUAUCCGGAUUUAUUGGGUUUAAAGGGUCCGUAGGCGGACUGAUAAGUCAGUGGUGAAAUCCGACAGCUUAACUGUCGAACUGCCAUUAUACUGUUAGUCUUGAGUAAGGUUGAAGUGGCUGGAAUAAGUAGUGUAGCGGUGAAAUGCAUAGAUAUUACUUAGAACACCAAUUGCGAAGGCAGGUCACUAAGUCUUAACUGACGCUGAUGGACGAAAGCGUGGGGAGCGAACAGGAUUAGAAACCCCUGUAGUCCCAU